UCCAGCAAUGCCGCGUGUGUGAAGAAGGCCUUCGGGUUGUAAAGCACUUUUGUCCGGAAAGAAAUCCUUGGCUCUAAUACAGUCGGGGGAUGACGGUACCGGAAGAAUAAGCACCGGCUAACUACGUGCCAGCAGCCGCGGUAAUACGUAGGGUGCGAGCGUUAAUCGGAAUUACUGGGCGUAAAGCGUGCGCAGGCGGUUUGCUAAGACCGAUGUGAAAUCCCCGGGCUCAACCUGGGAACUGCAUUGGUGACUGGCAGGCUAGAGUAUGGCAGAGGGGGGUAGAAUUCCACGUGUAGCAGUGAAAUGCGUAGAGAUGUGGAGGAAUACCGAUGGCGAAGGCAGCCCCCUGGGCCAAUACUGACGCUCAUGCACGAAAGCGUGGGGAGCAAACAGGAUUAGAUACCCUGGUAGUCCACGCCCUAAACGAUGUCAACUAGUUGUUGGGGAUUCAUUUCCUUAGUAACGUAGCUAACGCGUGAAGUUGACCGCCUGGGGAGUACGGUCGCAAGAUUAAAACUCAAAGGAAUUGACGGGGACCCGCACAAGCGGUGGAUGAUGUGGAUUAAUUCGAUGCAACGCGAAAAACCUUACCUACCCUUGACAUGGUCGGAAUCCUGCUG
rnacentral:rRNA from 2 species